rnacentral:rRNA from 1 species
CUUAACUUCGGGAUUGCCAUUGAAACUGUUACUCUUGAGUACAGUCGGAGACGGCGGAAUGAGUUAUGUAGCGGUGAAAUGCAUAGAUAUAACUCAGAACACCGAUCGCGAAGGCAGCUGUCUAGGCUGAGACUGACGCUGAGGCACGAAAGCGUGGGGAGCGAACAGGAUUAGAUACCCUGGUAGUCCACGCUGUAAACGAUGAUCACUCGCUGUUGGCGAUAUACAGUCAGCGGCUGAGCGAAAGCAUUAAGUGAUCCACCUGGGGAGUACGUCGGCAACGAUGAAACUCAAAGGAAUUGACGGGGGCCCGCACAAGCGGAGGAACAUGUGGUUUAAUUCGAUGAUACGCGAGGAACCUUACCUGGGCUUAAAUGUAGAGUGCAUGGAGGGGAAACCUUCCUUUCCUUCGGGACUC